rnacentral:rRNA from 1 species
AGCUCGCGUCUGAUYAGCUAGRKGGUGGGGUAAGAGCCUACCAAGGCAUCGAUCAGUAGCUGGUCUGRGAGGAUGAUCAGCCACACUYGGACUGAGACACGGCCCAGACUCCUACGGGAGGCAGCAGKGGGGAAUUUUCCGCAAUGGGCGAAAGCCUGACGGAGCAACGCCGCGUGAGGGAUGAAGGCCUCUGGGCUGUAAACCUCUUUUCUCAAGGAAGAAGAUCUGACGGUACUUGAGGAAUARGCCACGGCUAAUUCCGUGCCAGCAGCCGCGGUAAUACGGGAGUGGCAAGCGUUAUCCGGAAUUAUUGGGCGUAAAGCGUCCGCAGGCGGCCCUUCAAGUCUGCUGUUAAAAAGKGGAGCUUAACUCCAUCGKGGCAGUGGAAACUGUUGGGCUAGAGUGUGGUAGGGGCAGAGGGAAUUCCCGGKGUAGCGGUGAAAUGCGUAGAUAUCGGGAAGAACACCAGUGGCGAAGGCGCUCUGCUGGGCCAUAACUGACGCUCAUGGACGAAAGCCAGGGGAGCGAAAGGGAUUAGAUACCCCUGUAGUCCUGGCCGUAAACGAUGAACACUAGGUGUCGGGGGAAUCGACCCCCUCGGUGUCGUAGCCAACGCGUUAAGUGUUCCGCCUGGGGAGUACGCACGCAAGUGUGAAACUCAAAGGAAUUGACGGGGGCCCGCACAAGCGGUGGAGUAUGUGGUUUAAUUCGAUGCAACGCGAAGAACCUUACCAGGGUUUGACAUCCUGCGAAUCUCCUGGAAACGGGAGAGUGCCUUCGGGAACGCAGUGACAGGUGGUGCAUGGCUGYCGUCAGCUCGUGUCGUGAGAUGUUGGGUUAAGUCCCGCAACGAGCGCAACCCACGUCUUUUAGUUGCCASCAUUCAGUUGGGCACUUCUAGAGARACSGCCGRGUGAWUAAACCGGAGGA